rnacentral:lncRNA from 1 species
GAUGUUCAGAUGAUGAUCAAUUGCAUAGUUCAAAUGAAUGUUUGUGAUUAGAAAAGUUUUAGUCUUUCGCUCCUAUCUGAUGAACUCAGAAAUAUUUUUUUUUUUAAUUUGAUAAUGAUUGUAUUAAAUUUAAUAAUGGGAUAAUGACGAUUUCAUGUGAUAAGGUCUCGUUCGUCGUAAUGGUGUGAUGAACUCACACCUUGCCGACCAUCCUAUUAUAUCACCACCCAUAAACUGAAUCC